rnacentral:rRNA from 1 species
CCCUUUGAUACUCUGGGCGGCACGCGCGCUACAAUGGAUAACUUAACGUGUUACAUGUCCGAAAGGAUGUAUGCAAAUCACAAAUGUUAUGUCUCGAGUGGGAUAGUUUACUGCAAUUAUAGACUUGAACUAGGAAUCUCUUGUAGGUACACUGAAGCAUAGUGUACCGAAUACGUCCCUGCCGUUUGUACACACCGCCCGUCGUUUCUUCCGACUGAUACUCAUUGUGAAUUGCGGGGAUAACGUUGUUGAAAACCGUUGUAAAUGCUGGGUAUUGGAGGAAGAAAAAGUCGUAACA